GAUGAACGCUAGCUACAGGCUUAACACAUGCAAGUCGAGGGGUAACGAGAGGAAAGCUUGCUUUCCUUGUCGACGACCGGCGCACGGGUGAGUAACGCGUAUCCAACCUGCCCCCAACUAGGGAAUAACCUUGCGAAAGUAAGACUAAUACCCUAUAAUUUCCUCAGAUGUCAUCUGACGAGGAAUAAAGAUUUAUCGGUUGUGGAUGGGGAUGCGUCUGAUUAGCUUGUUGGCGGGGUAACGGCCCACCAAGGCAACGAUCAGUAGGGGUUCUGAGAGGAAGGUCCCCCACAUUGGAACUGGGACACGGGCCAAACUCCUACGGGAGGCAGAGGUGAGGAAUAUUGGUCAAUGGGCGGAAGCCUGAACCAGCCAAGUAGCGUGCAGGAUGACGGCCCUAUGGGUUGUAAACUGCUUUUAUACAGGAAUAAAGUUAGCCACGUGUGGUUAUUUGUAGGUACUGUAUGAAUAAGGACCGGCUAAUUCCGUGCCAGCCGCCGCCGUAA
rnacentral:rRNA from 1 species